rnacentral:rRNA from 1 species
GAUGAACGCUGGCGGCGUGCCUAAUACAUGCAAGUCGAGCGAACAGACGAGGAGCUUGCUCCUCUGACGUUAGCGGCGGACGGGUGAGUAACACGUGGAUAACCUACCUAUAAGACUGGGAUAACUUCGGGAAACCGGAGCUAAUACCGGAUAAUAUAUUGAACCGCAUGGUUCAAUAGUGGAGGACGGUUUUGCUGUCACUUAUAGAUGGAUCCGCGCCGCAUUAGCUAGUUGGUAAGGUAACGGCUUACCAAGGCAACGAUGCGUAGCCGACCUGAGAGGGUGAUCGGCCACACUGGAACUGAGACACGGUCCAGACUCCUACGGGAGGCAGCAGUAGGGAAUCUUCCGCAAUGGGCGAAAGCCUGACGGAGCAACGCCGCGUGAGUGAUGAAGGUCUUCGGAUCGUAAAACUCUGUUAUUAGGGAAGAACAAAUGUGUAAGUAACUAUGCACGUCUUGACGGUACCUAAUCAGAAAGCCACGGCUAACUACGUG